GCCUUGAUAGUUUAUAAAAAUAUUAUAUUGUGGUUAUAAAGAAGAAUUUUCUCAAGGCA
rnacentral:tRNA from 1 species